rnacentral:lncRNA from 1 species
ACAGAUGGCCACUACUACAGCGCAGGCAUAACUACUUGUCUAGCGGCAUGCAGCCAACAAAGAUUGCAGGAGACCCGCCGUUUCGCGGCAUGUCGAAAGACCGCUGCCGUCGCGGCGCGUACGAUCGUGCGCUCGAGCAGCUCUUCGUAUAUCGCGGCAUGCUGAAAGACCGCUGCUGUCGCGGCGCGUACCGUCGUGCGCUCGAGCAAUUCCGUACCCGUGACGUCUGCUUAUCGCUGAUGUGACUUCAUUUAUAGGCAAGUAUUUCCUCGCGUUUGUGCGCCUGAAUAUAGCAGCGUGCAAACCUUACCUGAAGUUCAACUUCGUACGCGACUCGCUUCACUUGCGAUUGACACCGCGC